rnacentral:tRNA from 1 species
GGGGUUGUGGCUCAGUAGCAGAGCACUUGCCUAGCAUGUGUGAGGCACUGGGUUCGAUUCUCAGCACCACUU